rnacentral:lncRNA from 10 species
AGCAUUUAUCAAGUCCCUUUAAAGACCCAAUCCGGUAUGAUAUGAAAUUGUUUAUAAUAUAAUUUUAAGUCGUGACUACUUCAGGUGUUUGAUAUUCAGUAUGAUAAAUGUGUGCUUUACCAACUCAUAAAAAUAUAAUGGAAGAUUCAGUGAUCUAUAUAUAACAUACAUACAUAAUAUCAUAUCCCACCAAGUGUGCUUAUUCAUCCCACUGAAUGAAAGUGUAUUCCCCUUCCCUGGCCUCUUUCAGGUCUUUUCUCUAUCCUCAUCUUCUCAAUGAAGACUUUCCUAUAUAUCCUAUUUAAAAUUGCAAACUCCCCCACCCUAUUCCUGCAUUUCUUAAUCUCUUCUUGUUUUUCGCUUUUCUCCAUCAUACAUACUUAUAUACUAAACAUUAUAUAUCCUGGCUCUAUCUAUCACUGCCUCUGCAAUCUUGGUAAAUCUACUUAACAUCUCAAUUCCUCAUUUUCCCUAGGUAUAAAACAGCAUGAAGAAAAGCAUCCAACUCUUCUUCAUCUGGAUGCCUCACAGCUUCAAGAGCCUAUGUAGCAUCCACUCUUACCCUCCUAGAACCCUGAGACAUUUAUGUGAAAAAGUCUGGGAUAGCCUUCUUGAGAAUGAGAGACGACAUGAGAAGAGAGGCCCAGCCAACUUCUUGCAUCGAUUGCCAGUGAGUGAGAAUGUCUUCGACCAUAUAAUCCCAGUCAAGCCACUGGAAGAAUGCAACCACCUAGGUAACAAUAAACAAGACCAGCAGAAGAGCUGCCCAUCAAUCCCAGCCCCAACUGCUGACCCAUAGAACCAUGAGAAAAUAAAUAGAAAACUGAGACAGAAACUAUUUGCUAAAGAGCAAAAUUGACUAAGUCUUAGAAAAUAUUUGAAUAGUUAUUUGUCCAAGAAGCAAAAGAAUAAAAGUUAUACUCCCUUUUAUAGUAAUAAACCCCUACCUACCCAACUUUUCUGCAGAUAAUAAUUUAAAACUUCAGAAAAAUAGAAAAAUAUCUGAGGGCAAAUAAAAACAGGCAGAUAUUACAGAAGAGUCUAUACUUGAAGAAGGAAAUACCACGAGUUAAGUUUUAUGUUUUUCUUUUUUGUAGCUUUUAUCCUGAGAGCAGGCUAUAGCUGGUGCGACAUGGGGGGUCACUGAAACUCAGAUAGAAACCCACAGUUUUCCUGGCUUGCAGAACCAAAUGUCAGAGUUCAAGGUGGCCACAGCUUCUUGAAAAUAAGAGGGAAAUUCCAUGAAGGAGAUAAUCAGAGAGAAAGAAAGAGAGAGAAAGAGAGAGAGAGAGGGAGAAAGAGAGGACACCCAAAUGUUGCCUAGAAAUUUCUGGUUGAACCCUAUGUCUCACAUUUGUGGGACAGAGCUCAGGCCUCUCAGCUGAGGCUAAGAAAACAACUUGGAUUUGAGCUGCUGCCUACUUCAGGGCAUACAGAAUUUGCAAUUUGAAUUCAGCCAAGAUACCUGCCUGCCUAGAAAAAGCUGCACAAUAUUCUUUAGAACAGCAUAACAGAAUACAGAGUCUCUUCAAUAUAUCAUUUAUAAUAGACAGAAUACAUUCCAAAAUUGCUCAACAUUUGAAGAAAAAAAAAGACCCAUUCUGAAGAGAAAAAAGAACAAUUUGAAGAUAAUACAGGUGAUAGAAUUGGCAGACUAGAUUUUAAAGUGGUUAUUGUAGCUAUACUUAAGGACAUAAAGAAAAACAUAUUCCUAAUGAAUGAAAAGAUAAGAAAGCUCAAUAAAGAACUAAAAACUAUUUUUUUCUUAAAAGAACCAAAUAAAAAUUCUAGAAUUAAAAAUUACAGUAUCUAAAAUAAAAAAUUUACUGAUUGGCCUUAACAGUAAAAUAGAAAUAACAGAAAAGUUAGUAAGCUUUAAAAUCAUUCAAUAGAAGUUAUUCAAUGUGCAGAACAGAGAGAAGAGACAUUGAAAAACAAUGGGCAGGUCCUCUGGGAACAGUGGACAAUAUCAAUAGGUCUAAUACGUAUGUAACUGGAGUCUGAGAAGGAGAAGAGAAAAAAAUUGGUCAGAAAAAAUAUUUGAAAAAAAGUAAAAGGUGAAAAUUAUUCAAAUUUAGAGAAAGGCAUAAAGUUACAAAUUUAGGAAGGAGAGCAAUCCCCAAGCAGAAGAGGAUUAAACACACACCUACACAUGCCCACACACACACAGGAACAUCAGAGUCAAACUGCUAAAAACCAGAGAACACAAAGGAUCUUAUUGUAGACUCAUUCUACACCAAAUAAAAUACUACAUCCAGAGUUUCAUGAACUGUUUUUAUUCAGGAAAUUUUCAGUGUAGGAUAAAUUGCUGCUUUUCACUGGAGACACAAAUCCUGGGUGUGAGGAGUUCAUCCACACAGUCAGGGCCCCAGGAGGUGGGUGGUUGAGGAGGAGACUACCAGUCUUUCACUUCCAUUUCAGCUGGGGAAGAGCUUCUGGAGGAGACAGGAUGCUGUGAGCUCUCUGGAAGACAGAAAGAUUUUGACAUAAAUAACUCUAAAAUCAGGGAAAGAGAAGUGAGAUCCUCAUGGUAAUCUUGAGAAUGACCCAACCAGAGAAUCUAGUGCCUUGGAGCCAAGGGAGUUUUUGAAAUGGAAUUAGCAGAAAGAAAUCUGGGGGGAAUGGGGAAGGCCCAGAAGAUUUUGAUCCUUACAGCAUGUAUUUCCUCAUAUGCUUUCCCUCCUUUCUCCCACAAUUUAGCAUAACCCUAUUCAGGGUGGAUCACUUUGAAACAUAGGGAGGUAGAUUCUUUCCCUUCCUUUUCACCAAUAGAUCAGAGAUGUCUGGAGGUAGCUGCCUUGGGGAAUGUGUGGCCUUGUUUUGACAAAUGUGGACCUCUUAGUUCAUAGAGGAUGAUGUUAAUAAUUGAAAACAAAUAAAUAACAAAACCUCCAAAUGUAAAC